rnacentral:rRNA from 1 species
AGUAGUUUGAUCAGUGGCUCGAGGACGAACGCUGGCGGCGUGCUUCAUACAUGCAAGUCGAACGAGAAGCUGACUUCGGUCAGUGGAAAGUGGCGGACGGGUGAGUAAAAUGUAGAGAAUCUGCCCCAGAGCGGGGGACAACGGUUGGAAACGACCGCUAAUACCCCAUAUGAGCGUAGUUGAGAUACUAUUCUUGAAAACUCCGGUGCUCUGGGAUGAGUCUGCAUCUGAUUAGCUAGUUGGGGGUGUAAUGGACCACCAAGGCGAUGAUCAGUAGCUGGUUUGAGAGGAUGAUCAGCCACAAUGGGACUGAGACACGGCCCAUACUCC